GCUAGUUGAGCGUUUCCAGCCAACACGGAGACGCAGCGCACAGCUCAGUAACACGUGGCUAAUCUGCCCUUGGGACCGGAACACCCCCGGGAAACUGGGGCUAAUUCUCGAUAGGUGAAGAACUCUGGAAUGAGUCUUUGCCAAAAAGAUGCUAGAGUUAUGCUCUUUGGCAUCGCCCAAGGAUGAGGCCGCGACCGAUCAGGUCGUUGGUGAGGUAAUGGCUCACCAAGCCUUUUACCGGUGCGGGCCGUGAGAGCGGGAGCCCGGAGAUGGGCACUGAGACAAGGGCCCAGGCCCUACGGGGCGCAGCAGUCGCGAAAACUUUGCAAUACGCGAAAGUGUGACAGGGCUAUCCCGAGUGCCAUCCGCUGAGGAAGGCUUUUACCCAGUCUAGAACGCUGGGGGAAUAAGGAGAGGGCAAGUCUGGUGUCAGCCGCCGCGGUAAUACCAGCUCUCCGAGUGGUGUGGAUGUUUAUUGGGCCUAAAGCAUCCGUAGCUGGCUAAGUUAGUCCCUUGUUAAAUCCACCGAAUUAAUCGUUGGAUUGCGGGGGAUACUGCUUGGCUAGGGGACGAGAGAGGCAGACGGUAUUUCCGGGGUAGGGGUGAAAUCCUAUAAUCCCGGGAAGACCACCAGUGGCGAAGGCUGUCUGCUAGAACGCGCCCGACGGUGAGGGAUGAAAGCUGGGGGAGCGAACCGGAUUAGAUACCCGGGUAGUCCCAGCUGUAAACGAUGCA
rnacentral:rRNA from 1 species